GUUGUAUGGUUAAGUGACUAAGCGUACACGGUGGAUGCCUUGGCAGUCAGAGGCGAUGAAAGACGUAGUAACUUGCGAUAAGCCCAGAUUAGGUAGUAACAACCAUUUGAGUCUGGGAUUUCUGAAUGGGGAAACCCACGUGCAUAAGCACGUAUCCUU
rnacentral:rRNA from 17 species